rnacentral:rRNA from 1 species
UACGGGGGGGGCAAGCGUUGUUCGGAAUUACUGGGCGUAAAGGGCGCGUAGGCGGUUUGUUAAGUUGAAUGUGAAAACUCCGGGCUUAACCCGGAGCCUGCAUUCAAUACUGGCAAGCUCGAGUUCUGGAGGGGAUAGCGGAAUUCCUGGUGUAGCAGUGAAAUGCGUAGAUAUCAGGAGGAACACCGGUGGCGAAGGCGGCUAUCUGGACAGAGUCUGACGCUGAGGCGCGAAAGCUAGGGGAGCAAACAGG